UCUAAGGUCGUUUCGUUGGAUUUUUGCUGCAGAAGAAAGGUUUUGGCUUUGCCUAAUCAUAAUGUUUUAAUUUAAAUUUAGUCUACUCACAGAAGUAUGGACUUUUAGAGUAAUUGAAACAAAACUAGAAGAACCCAGAAAUGGCUGAAAUCGAUGAUGAUUCAGAUCCUAGACGAAGAACUACAAAAAGAACGUUCAACUCAUCAUGGGAUAGCGAUGAUGAACUGCUCCAAGAUGAUUUACAAAUUAAAAGA